AUUGAACGCUGGCGGCAGGCCUAACACAUGCAAGUCGAACGAGUGGCGGACGGGUGAGUAAUGUCUGGGAAACUGCCUGAUGGAGGGGGAUAACUACUGGAAACGGUAGCUAAUACCGCAUACCAUCAGAUGUUCCCAGAUGGGAUUAGCUAGUUGGUGGGGUAACGGCUCACCAAGGCGACGAUCCCUAGCUGGUCUGAGAGGAUGACCAGCAACAAUGGAACUGAGACACGGUCAAGAAUCCUACGGGAGGCAGCAGUGGGGAAUAGUGCACAAUGGGCGAAAGCCUGAUGCAGCAAGGACGCGUGUAUGAAGAAGGCCUGCGGGUUGUAAAGUACUUUCAGCGGGGAGGCGUUACCCGCAGAAGAAGCACCGGCUAACUCCGUGCCAGCCGCCGCGGUAAUAC
rnacentral:rRNA from 1 species